ensembl:lncRNA
AAAAAAUGGAUGUAAAUUAUUUGUUUAUUAUGAUAUCCUGUUACACUGGGUUAUAAAUAUUAUAUAGAAAUUCCCUUAGUCAUCCAUCAACAUGGGAAGCCAGAGAACACACAAAUAAAUUGACAAAAGGUUGUUGAUCUUCACAAAUCAUACAAUGAAAGUUAGCAACACACCUGAAAACCAGUUUCUAUGGCCUGAUGAGACUUAAUCGUAGCGUUUUGGCAGCAAACAUCAGAGGUGGAUUUUUCAUUAAAAAAGCCAUGGUCAUGUAGAAAAUAACAUAAUCCCAAUGUGAAUUAUGGUGGUGGAUCUGUGAAGUAUGGUGGUAGAUCUGUGGAGUACAGUAUGAUGGUGGAUCUGUGAAGUAUGGUGGUAGAUCUGUGAAGUACAGUAUGAUGGUGGAUCUGUGAAGUAUGGUGGUAGAUCUGUGAAAAAUAGUGGUAGAUCUGUGAAGUACAGUAUGAUGGUGGUGGAUCUGAAGUAUGGUGGUAGAUCUGUGAAGUACAGUAUGGUGGUAGAUCUGUGACGUAUGGUGGUAGAUCUGUGAAGUACAGUAUGAUGGUGGUGGAUCUGUGAAGUAUGGUGGUAGAUCUGUGAAGUACAGUAUGAUGGUGGAUCUGUGAAGUUGUGGGCUGUUUUACUUAUAAAGGCCUAGGAGCCUAAUUAGGAUAGAUGACAACAUGAACACUAUUAAGUAUCAGGAGAUUGUUGGCCAAAUACUGUCUGUCUCUGCCCGGAGACUAAAGGUGUGGGCAUGCUUUGUUGUGAUGAUGGCAUGCUUCAUUUUUAUGAGGGUAUGCUUCAUUGUGAUCAAGUCAUACUUGGUUGUCAUGAUGGCAUGCUUGGUUGUCGUGAGGCCAUGCUUGGUUGUCAUUAGGGUAUGCUUGGUUGUCAUGAGGGUAUGCUUGGUUGUCAUUAGGGUAUGCUUGGUUGUCAUGAGGGUAUGCUUCAUUGUCAUGAGGGUAUGCUUGGUUGUUUGGUUUAUUAGCCCUGUUUCCCCAAAGAUAAGUAACGUAAUUUUAACAGCUAAAGCUAUAGACUUAUACUUGUGUUAACACGACCAAGAAUGAUAACAGUGUACAGAUAUUAUGACAUGAUAACACCUUGCUAGUUGUGUAACUGAAACGGAUUAUGUCAUUGAUUUUAUUUUUUUAGAAAAGAAAGAACAUUAUUGGAAAAUAACAUAAUUUGCAUUCAUCAGUUAGCUUUUCUUUCUGGCCAGCUUUCCCAGCUAAACAGACAAGAUCCAGGACCUACAAUAACUAGAGGACCUAACUAGUGGACUUAACCAGAGGC